CCACGGGGGGGGGGGGGGGCUCUGUCCUCGGGGCUGGAAGGCCAGCUUCCAGCCCCGCCCAAGCCCGCCCGCCCCAGGACGCGCGCCGCAGCCCCGCGGACAGAGCGGGUCUGGUAGGCCCCCGCGCCCCGCGCCCCGCGCCCCCAGCGCCCGGGCCCCCCAUCAGUCCCGGCAGAACAGCUCCUCUCCUCUGCGCUGCUUUUCUUGGAAGCAGAGGCCGUGGGGAAGAGACUGACCAGGUGCACGUGUGUGGGGCGGAGAGCCCUGUGACUCCAGAGAGUUCCUGUCGUUGUUCCCGACCCUGGAGAAGGACCGCUUUCAUUCCGGUCUAAAGGUCACAUCCUUGCUCUGCCUUUCAGCUCAAACCCUGGUCCAGCCAAGGCCCCCAGUCUCAUCUGAAAUUAGGUAGCGGGGCAGGGACCGGGGCUGGCGCUCCCCCUGGUGGCGGUCCUCAGAACCGCCCCGCGCCCCCAAACUGAGCUCACCUCCUGGACUUAGGCUCUCGGAAGACCAAAAGCUUCUUGAAGGCAAGGCCCCUGCACCCGUUUGCCACUCACAGAACUCUGCUAGAAGCUGGGGCACUUGGCAUGGAACAAGGCAUGGCGACCCUCUACAAGCACUUACCAUCAAAGGGGGACCCGGGAUGUGCACCCGGGAGUAGAGGACAGACAUCGGAGCAGUAUUUCGGGAGCACAGAGAAGGAACGCCCCAUUCUGCACAGGGGAACCAAUCGGGAGAGGCUGCAACGGAGGAGCAGCUCUUGGCCCUGACCUAAGGAACGAGGCUGCUUCAACAGGUGGUUCCUCGGCCGUUGUGGGUGAGGGGUGAGGCCACCUGGACCUAAAACACCGCGGGAGGGAUGGAGUCAUCUUGGGCAGCGGUGGAGGCGCGAUGGGGAGCGGGCAGGUGGCUUUUCCCAUCUGCUGGAUCCCCUAGCAUCUGUACUUUUGAAAAUUGUCUCUAAGAGUCUAAGCGAUGCCUGGGUACUUAACAGAAGUACAGAGUUUUAAAAUGUUCCCAAAAACCAGAGACAAAAAACGAAACAGGAGUAAGAUGCACAGAGAUAAACACUAACUUUUUCCCCAAAGUUUCACUUCUCGUUUGCCUUGUUAGUGAAGACGGUGGCUGGUAGUUAAAUGAGUGAGUGUAAAGCUGGAAACCAAAGGCCACCACAGGCCUGGUUCACUGAGCUGAUCGCGUCUGACCCACGCCACGCACACGUUCCGGCCGCCAGCCAACACCCAGUGAACUUUCUGGCUGAAAGCGUGGUACGGGCUCUCCGGCAGAGUGGGGCUCAGAGGGUCAGCAGACCUGUGACAGGCUGGGCGUCCAACAGAGGACAGAAGAGACGCCCGCCUGGGCUCCCGGACUCUGGGUAUCCCUUGGCAUUGGCUGUGUGGUUUUGUGUGGAGAUACCUAUCCUUUCGCCCCGACACCCCCCGUGAGGGGCACCUCAGUCAGCGUGACCCGGCUCCCGCAGGAGGCGCUGCGGGCCACCCCCGCCUGGACGCAUCCUCCGCGGUGGGCACGCGAGACCUCAUGGGUCCCUUUGGUCACGGAGCAGGUCAGCAGGGGUGCAGGCAGGCCCAGAGCUACAGACAGACCCUGACCGCUCCCCCACCCCAGCCUCGCGGAACGUCAGCUCAGAAGUCGGGGUGAAGCUCCUUCUGCACUUGUCGCUUGUGCCCGUGGCGGGAGCCACACGUGGUGAGUCCCACAGGCCGACCUGGCCCUCAGUUCCUGCCCUGCUUCCCUCCCCCCGGCCGACGGGCAGGGGUUUGGCAGCAGCUUUGCCCUGGCAGUGACCUCCAUCUGGAGUCCAGGACCCAUUUUUGUCCUUGUUGGGGAAUUUGGCUGUCCCAGCACAGUGGGUUACUGAGGGACUGUGCCCUGAAUGGUCCAGUUCUCCGAAAGCCUGCUUCCAGCUGCCAGAGGACACUUUUGUGAGAAAGCUGUGUCCGUCCCCCUGGCAGGGCAAGGCGCUGAACCUGCCCACCCAGCGGACCGGCCGUGCCCUCCCUGUGCUGGCUGCGGGGCCGGGCCAGUGCCAGCAGUUCCCGGGUAGAGCCUCGGGGAGCACCGCCGACGGCUGGAUUAGCGUGAGGCUGUGCCUUCCCUUUUUGCAAGAAAAGCCUGCUCCCCAGGGUGGGGCGAGGGGAGCAGCUACCAGCCCUGACUGAAGGCUGCUGCUCCUUGCACAGGCGGCCCGUCGGCAUCUCCCAGCCAGGCGAGGGGAGGCGGCGGGGGAGCCGCAGGCCGUCCCGGGAGAGCUGUGCGCGUGGCCAGGGGCCUCCCCCACCCCGUGCCCACAGGGCUGCCAGCCUUGAGAGAAGCCCCGGUGGCCCUCCUCCGGUCGGGCGCGCAGGGAAGACCGUCUGCCCGCCUUAGCUGGGUGUGAGCUCCGGGGGCAGGUCCCCCAGCCUCCCCGCACCCUCCGGCCCCUGUGCGGCCCGGUUCCAGGUCCGACCCUGGCCAUUUCAUGGCAUGGUAGUUGGUUGGCCAGCUUCCUCUUCACGGAGGAAAGAGACCCUGCAGGGAGGGCUUGUGCCCUUUGUUUCUGUGCGUCGCCAAGAUUACUGGAUGAAAUCAAGAUGCUUGUGCUCAAAGAAACACACUUUUCCAUUCAUGCAUCAGUUCCCCUCAUUUACUCUCUACCCCCUCUGGCUCUGGUGGGCAACCUCUCCUCGCCCAGCCCUACUGCCAUUAAAAACAAUGACAUCAAAGAUCCCCUGAUGUCAGACGUUUACUCCUUAGUAUAAACUAGCCGGCAGGUCACGUCCUCUCUAAGAGAACUCAGUUUCCUGCUGACCUCUGGUCGUCCGUGUGCACCAGGUGCCCCAGCUCAGGCCCUGUACCUGUGAUGUCCUCUGUGGGAAAUGCUCGUCCCCCGGAUGCUUGCGUCGUCCCUUCCUUGCCUCCAUUGUCCUUUCAGCCUCUGCUCAGUGUCACUGUAUAUAUACACUGGCCUCCUGGGCACCGUGUUCAGAAUAGUAACUCGUGUCUCCCUCCGCACACGCUCCACCCCGGGCCGCCCUUAACGUUUGACCACAGCCCGUGCCUGACUCACAGUAUUCUCUGCCCUUUACUUGGCUAUAGCCCGUGUCCCCUUUUAGGCUGUGUGCUCCCGAGGGCAGGCACGCUCCUGUGUUUCACCUGCUGCUAAACCCCCAGUGCCUGCACGUAUGUGGCAUCUAGCAAGCAGAAAGCGACUGUUGAAUGAAUAAGUGAGUGAACUGUGGAUCCAAAGGCCCAGCUGGGAGUUUAUCUUGCUGAUGGCACGUUGCCCUCCUCGGGGGGCAACUGCUGCCCGGCCCCAGGGACAGCCCAGGGACGGGAGACUGGCUCCUUGGAGAUCCUCUCUUCCCGGAGGAUGCAAGUGGGCAGGGGCGGCAGCAACUUGGGGCAAAGCCUGGUGCUCCGGGCCCUGUCGGAGGGUGCGUACGAUGCCAGGCGGGCGGUGUGGUCUGAGGCAGACGAACCAGCACGGCCUCCCUCCCUCCUCUCCCGCGUCUGGGUGGGUUUCGCCUGGUAGGUCUCUCAGCUUUUUGAAGUCUUCCUUUUCUCAUCUGAAAAAUGAAAGCAAGGGAACCUGUCUUGCUGGGUUUCUGUGGAUGGUUGUGGAAUGGCUGCUAGGAAGCUAGAAACACACCCCUCCUGGAGCACAGGGGCACUUCCUGUCUGCAGGCCCCGUGGUGCUGGGGAGCGGGGUCCUGGCCUCCGACAGCCACAGCCACAAAAGGCACAGACGUGCCCGCUGUCUGCCCCGCGCCUCCUACCCCGAUGCUGCCCGGGGCACAUGUUCCGUGGACACUGCAACCUCGCCACCGGCAGGCCCGAGUGAUCUGCUCUCCUGGCCUCUGCUAGGCUUGGCUGGAGGCCGGGAGAGAGGAGGUACUUCCCCGUGCUUGUCGGGCUGAGGGACCAGCUCAAGACUCAAACCUCUGCUCUGACUUCUCAACAAUCCUGGCCCUUUCUGCCUCAAAAUCUCCAUAAUAUCAGAGGUUUUACAGACAACAUUUUUCAAAACAAAUGCUCCAGUAAUUUUAAUUUUUUUCCAAAGACUCUAUUAUUUGAGAGCAGGGGGAGAUCAGAGAUUCCCCUCCUCACACGGGCACGGUCCCCCCCCGCUAUCAGACUCCCCACCAGAGUGGGACCUUUGUGACAGCGGGUGAACCCACACUGACACGUCAUUAUCACCCAAAGUCCACGUGAACCUGAGGGUUCACUCUUGGUGGUGCUCAUUCUACGGGUUUGGACAAACACGGUGACAUGAAUCCACCAUUAUAGUAUCACAGAGUGCUUCCCUGCCCUAAAAGUCCCCUGGGCUCUGGCAGUUUAUUCUGAGCCCCCAGCCCCUGGCAACCACUGGUCCAGUUUUUCCUUACUUGAUAUCUGUUGAGGCUUCAUUGUUAGAGGUUAUGUGAGGAAGGAGUUUAACCAUCGCAGCCUCAGGAUCGGGUCUGGUGAGGCGUCCACCUUCAGGACAGAAGAAUUUCAGAAACGUCCUGACACCAGCUUCCCUGUAAGUAUCGGGACGCUGUCUCCAUGGCGAUGAGACUCGGCCCCUGCUCUGGGCGCUGUGGAGUGUCCUUCUCCAGCACCUGCUCCCUUCGCACCUUGGCACGUGCCCCGUCUGGGGCACAGGGAUCCCAGAUCCGUGCCCGGCUGUCUGGGCUCUUCCAUCCCUGUCCCAGCCCACUUCCUCCAAGCGGGACCUCUUUGUCUUGCUGAGCUGUUCCCAGCACAGGGCACGCUGGCUGGUGACGUGAGUGCCCCGUGGAUAAAUCUUCCAGGACAGAACAGAUGCUGCAUUCAGAUUGGCCUUUCUGAUGUGAUACACUUUCUAUCCCUGAGUUUUGAGGUCUUAUCUCAGGGUUUGUAGGACUUUGGGGUGCAGGGUCAUCACCUUCUGAGCCGGGCCCCCUGGCUUCAUCUGAGUCAGCGUGUCUGGGUUGCCUAGUAGUCUGCUACCCACUCAGAGGGGGCCCUGGGUUGCUGCAGGAGGCACUGCCCUGGGGAGGACCCCGUGGGGCUGGCGGGGUCAUUGUCCCUUACCAGUGCGUGGUGACUGCAGAUGUGCCAGGGCCGGGUGGGGACGUGCUGGCUGUUUUGUGGGGCCUCACGGGCUGAGUGAACUUGGGCAGGUUUCCUCCCUGUUCUGAGCCUCCUCCUCACCCUGGGAGGAGGGAAUUCGAAUAUGUGAAGGUCCCUUUCUGUCCUUAAGAGCCCAGGAGAAUAGGGAGCCAGGAAAUGGCCUGGCUGUUGGCCAGUUCUGUGCCCAUAUCCCCAGGCUGCCAGGCAGCGGUGAACCAGGGGGCAGGUCGUGCCCUCAGCUCUGGGGGAGGCUACCCCCAGGGAACCUGCCUGCCCCCAGCCACCUCCACGCGGCCGCUCCCCUCCCCUCCCACCACUGAGAAGCAGAGCCCGCCCUGGGCCUCUCAGUCUCUCCACCCUCCGCUCCCACCUGAAGACUUGCCCUGUGCUCCUGGGUUUGGGGUCAGCCUGUGUUAUGGAAACCACUCAAGACCAGGAGUCGAAACGCUCAGAUUCCAGUCUGCCUCUGCCCCCGUGAGCCUGCGCCCGGCCAGUUACUGGACCCGACUUUGGUUUCCCGUGGACACAAUGGUGGGGUUUGUGUGCGUUCCUGCUUCUCCACCUGGAGCCCCCGCCGGGUUUCUUUGUGUCAAAUAUUCAUCAGUCAGUUUUAACCUCUGAGUUUCUGGCUCAGGAAGUUUGAAGCAAGGUCCAGACGAAAGAUAUCUGGGCAAAAGCAGCCGUAUUGGGGAAGCUGAAGGGCUUGCUGGCUCUGGGCUACGGGGGUUCCCUAAGCCACCCUCGCUCCGUCUGUAACUCACCCGACACCCGACUGGCAGGCGGGCCCGUCAGGGCCACGCCCCCACAUUUGGAUGUUUCGCUGUGAGACUCAGCCUGCUGUCAGAGACCUCUGCCUCCUACCUAGGCUGCAGGUGCACGUGGACCAGUUCAUAAGUGAGACUGAGUCGGUCAUAAAAAUACCAUCUAUUUGUGUCAUUUUUUUAGAUUCCACAUAUAAGUGAUAUGAUAUGAUAUUUGUCUUUCUCUGUCUGACUUACUUCACUUAGUAUGAUCAUCUGUAGGUCCAUCCAUGUUGCUGCAAAUGGCAUGAUUUCAUUCUUUUUAUGGCUGAGUAGUACUCCAUCAUGUAUAUAUACCACAAAUGGAUUUAUUUACAAAAAAGAAAUGGAUUCAUAAGCAUAGGAAACAAAUUUAUAGUUAUCAAAGGGGAAAGGGUUGGGGAUGGAUAAAUUAGGAGUUUGGGAUUAGCAGAUACAAACUACUAUAUACAGAAUAGAUAAACAAGGUCCUACUUGCACAGGGAACUAUAUUCAAUAGCUUCAAACAACCUAUAAUGAAAAAGAAAAUGAAAGGAAUAUAUAUAUCUAACUGAAUCACUGUGCUGUACACCAGGAACUAACACAACCUUGUAAAUCAACUCUACUUCAAUAACAGUGCCGUCUGGGGCCAGCACAGAGGCAGCCCUUGUCUGGCAAACAUCUGCGGACCCCGUAACCAGGUGUCCAGGGCUGGGACCUAAAUCACCUGAGGCCUCUCCUUGAGCAUAGAGGGGCAUCCUGCUGAAGAGUCCCGGAGAGCCUCCUACUGCCUGCCUUCAUCAGCGCUGCACCUUUUUCCUCGAUAUUCUCACUGACAUCUAAGACUUUGACUUCCAGUUUUACGUUCCGGAUUCUAAAACCUUUCUACCCAACCCACAUGUCUCUGCUGAAUCCCGGACAGACAGCAUCAAAGCCCGCUGGGCACCUCGCUGCCGAGUGGCCACCCGGAGUGAAAGUUCACGUUGGAGCAUCCCAAAUGGCCAAGGGACCGUCUCUGCUCUUCUUCCAAGUGCAAAAGUUAGUUUGAUUGCAGUGGACUGACCCCUACUCCACCCUGGCUGCUCUGGACCCCAAGGCAAGCACAGUGAGGGUCUGCAAGAAGCCUUUUCUGAUUUCCUGUGUGUGUUCAUUCAGCAGAGGGACAGGGAGCAGCCCCUGCAUUCGCUCUGCCUCCAGACAGCAGCGUCUUGCCGGUGGGAGACAGGGACGCGUCAGAGUUGCUCAGGGAGCAAAAACGAUUAAAGAAAACUUGGAACCUGACUCCCACGGCUGUGUGCUUCCUCCAGGAGAACAAAAGGCACCUUCGAAGGUCAAAAUGAGGGUAUGCAUGCUGGCGGAAUCCUCGGUGUAAAGACGUGUGGAAUCCCAGGAAAACGUGCGAGGCUAUUACAUCCACAUGCUCCCAUCUCCCCCGGAAAUUAUGUUCCCUUGUGGCUGUUACUUCUAAGGCUGAGCCGCGAGGCUUGUGGCCCCAGAGCAGGAGGGAGAGGCUUCUGUGUGAGACCAAGCCUCGGUGAACUUACAUUGUUUUGGAAGUCAGGCUUUGGAGAGAAAGAAGAGAUUAUUAAAUGUUAGAUUCUCCCUUCUGCAUAUCAAGAUUUAGAUUCAAUCACAACGUUUUCCAAAGAUGAGUCUGUGAGAGGAGAGAGAGAUGGAAAACAGAGAGAGACAGAGAGACAGAGAGGACAGAGAGACACAAGAGAGACAGAUGGAAAGACGGGAGAGAGAGGGAUAUUGAGACGGAGGAGCUUAGGGCUGUCCAUUUGCCCUGGAGAAGCUGAGACCCAGGAAAGGGAGGAGGGGGGCGGGUGCACUGGGCAGGGUGGGUGGGGUGAUCGGGGACUUCUGGGAGACAGGUACCCCAGUAUCACCUCCAUCUUUUCUCAGCUCUUUGUGUGACUGGCUUGCUUUCUUUGCCUUGUCUUUAAUAUCACUUCCUUAGAGACACCUCCCCUGAUCAUCGUA